rnacentral:tRNA from 1 species
AAGGGAGACCUAAUUCAGGUAGGAGACGAAAAAAAAGUAGUCGCUACCAAGAAUCAAUCCCAAAAGGUCGGAGCGAGGCAAAAUUGGCUUUCAAACUAGGUUCUGGGUUCAAACAAGACCUGAAUCAGGAACAAGGGCUAUUAGCUCAGGUGGUUAGAGCGCACCCCUGAUAAGGGUGAGGUCCCUGGUUCGAGUCCAGGAUGGCCCACCUGUACAGGUGGCAAAAACAAAGAAAAGAAGCAAGGAAUCAGCACCUUAUCUUAUUUAUAUAUAGUAAGAGAGAAUGCUGGCUCUGAGUACAGAGUCCAGAGGAACCUUGAAAACUGCAUAGAGCUAGGUGAAAAAGCCAAAAAAGAAGACCGCAA